GCUGGGUGUAGUGGUGCCCGCCUGUAAUCCCAGUGGCUUGGGAGGCUGAGGCAGGAGGAUCCUGAGUUCAAAGCCAGCCUUAGCAAAAGCGAGGCCCUGUCUCUA
rnacentral:sRNA from 1 species